UUUCCGGUUAUCAUGACCUACAUUUGCCGGUCAUAGUUCUUGGCUCAUAGCGGAGACGAGUGGGGGCUAGAGAGAGAGAAAGAGCAGAAAGUUCCCGUCGCCGACGUUAUGUUGGUCCGUAGGCUAGAGUGCCACCGUCACCGGCGGUGUUUGUCCGUCCAAUGUUCCGCGUUCUCUAGAAUCCCCAAUUCUGGCAUAGCAACUGGAUUUUAGGCCACCGUUCGUCGGAGCUCAAGAUCAUCGCAUGCCUUCUGGACUUUGGGGGUUUUCACUGUGGCCAGUCAAUAACGGUUAGGCUUUCUUGGCCUGAGAUGUUGGUUGUUGCCGGCGUCCGUUCAAGGGCACUUAUGGUGUCGAUGAUGGCUAGGGUUUCCUAUGCUGAGACUCUAACAGACUUUGAUGGGUGGUGAUUGCUUUUAUCUACGAUUAUCGAUGACUAUGGGUGUCUUCAUAUGAGAUGUUCUUGAUUUGAAUUUUGAAACCGUGAGUUCGCUUAUCUGUUUUCUUUGUUGGCUAGGAUUUCUGAAGACCACGUAUAUUGUAUAUAUAUAAAUUUGUGAUUUGUAGAGUUCCUUUGAUAAUAAUGGAGUUACAUCAUUUGGUC